rnacentral:rRNA from 1 species
UCGUCAGUUCGUACUGUGAAGCAUCCUGUUAAGUCAGGCAACGAGCGAGACCCACGCCAACAGUUGCCAGCUCGUCCUCCGGGAUGGUGGGGACACUGUUGGGACCGCCUCUGCUAAAGAGGAGGAAGGAAUGGGCAACGGUAGGUCAGCAUGCCCCGAAUUAUCUGGGCUACACGCGGGCUACAAUGGGUGGGACAAUGGGUAUCGACACCGAAAGGUGAAGGCAAUCUCCUAAACCCAUCCGUAGUUCGGAUUGUGGGCUGCAACUCGCCCACAUGAAGCUGGAAUCUGUAGUAAUCGUGUCUCAAAAUGGCACGGUGAAUAUGUCCCUGCUCCUU